rnacentral:tRNA from 1 species
UUAUUUGAAGUAAUUUUUACAAUUAAUUUCGGCUUAAUUAUUGGCUUUAUAUAGCCCAAAUAUU